CAAAUGAUGGCUGAAAUACCACUAAUAUAGGGUGAAAUCAUCAUUGUGAUCUGAUUUUUUUUCUUUAGAUGUAGAUUUUAUGGCUUGUAUUAUAAAAAUGAAGAAGUGCGCCACUGGGCCUAGAGGACUUCUCGUUUAUUGUUUUAGUGAAGAGUGUAUAUUGCUGCCCACGUCAUACUGUAUCCCCCUACAGGGUGUGUAUUAUAAACUAAACUCUACGGAUAUCCGUUAGGUAUACAUACGUACUUGUGUAUCUUGUCUCAGACAUUUCCGUUUCAAACCACAUGUAAGUGAAACAAAUACACGUAAGUUUUGCACUUCCAUAUUAUGUUCAUUUCAGUUUACUGUAUGAUGAAGCCCAGCCUUGUAACUGAGUAAACCUGCCUUAGUAUAACAAACACGGGAUUUUUUUUAUUUAUUUAUUACUUUUCGAUGAAUUUAACGUCGUUUCAGUACCUGCAAGGCAUGCGCAAUACAGACUUCCUUUGGUAGUCUGUUAAGCAAAGGUGUUUAUACGAACUUAUAAUAUAUAUGAACCAAUUAUGUCGAUCAACCUUUCACCAACCAAGUGUAAGCAAACGUGUUUAUACGAACUAAUGCACAAAUAAACCAAUUGUGUGGAUCAACCUUCACCAACCACCUGUAAGCAAACGUGUUUAUACGAACACGCAUGUUUAUAUGAAACACAAAUGAACCAAUCAUGUAGACCAACCUUCAUCAACCCAUAAAAACACAACUACCAUCUACAAUAAUGCAGAAAAACCCACAUAGCCCCAAGCAACACUUAUCCAUUUACUAUAUGAAACCAACCACUAGCCAAAUGAAACACGGUCCAAACAACUCACCAACUGAAACUUAUGCAAACCACCAACCAUCUGAAACAACAACAGUUAGCAAAAUCACAAUCUAACCAACCAGUUUGCCUAAAAGUUUAUAAGAACACCCAACAAAUCACUGAUAGCACUGUUCCCACCCAGCCAAUAGGCUGUCAAAAAAUUUACGAAAACAUCCCCGAAGCAAUAGUUCGCCAGAAAAAUCGCCAUCCAGCCAACCAACCAGGGCACCUAAAAGUUAACAAGAUGUUACGAAAUUUUACGAAAACUCCCACCACGAGCAGUGUCAGGACAGUCACCACCCAACCAACGAAGAAGUCACUUACUCUGUCUAAAAGUUUACCAAACACUCAUAUACCCACUUCUGGCACUAUUACCAACCAAUCAAUAAACGAGCCAACCAGUCUGGCCAGAAGUUUCAAAGAACACCCAUCAAACACUUCAGUUAGCAUUAGUCACCCAAUCAGCCGAUCAACCAACCGGGCUGUCCAAAAACAACAGCCAGGCUGUCCAAAAACAAACAGCCAGGCUGUCCAAAAACAAACAGCCAGGCUGUCCAAAAUUUUACAAGUUGGAACGUCUACCACUCUAUGCACAGUCACUAUCUUACCAACCAGCCAGCUAACUAACAAGGGCGUCCAAAGUUUCACCAAACCAACUAAUGCUUAACAUAUUUACCAAUCAAGCAAUCAUCCAAUCAGUCAUCUAAGGCGGUCCAAAAUACGGAUAUCACUCUCGUGGACCUUUUUAUUAUACUGAUAUCAGUUAGAGCCACCAGCUUAUAUACGUUCAGCAGCUCGCUACCAGUUUAGAAUUUCACUUGAGUAGCAGGCUACAUAAACCCUACUGUGAAUUAAUCUGUUUAACACCUGCACUCAAAUAAUUCAGUUAUAACAUCAAUAGCCUUUUAAUGGCAAGACAGAUCCAACAAUGACUGCGCAAUGGCAUGCGCAUGCCCAGGUUUAAAUAUAUCAGUGUGAAUACCUGUCUACAUACAAUCAAAGCACGGUCAUUCUGCAUGGACUCCACCCGGACAUUGCUGUAUUUACGGGUCUGUGUGCGAGUACACGUGUCGUCCACAUGUCUAUUGUAUUGGCCUUCUUAUGCUGUAGAGAAGUCUGGUCUAUGAUUCAUAAAACUUCUGGUGACAACAGACAUAUAAAUAUUUCCACUGCCCGCGUGACACUUGGGUGUUUCCACAGAGACAAAAGUACAGGACUAUACAGUAUCGGUAUUCUAUGAUAAGACCUACCCAGGCGCUAGACACCCUUAACGUAACUCACUCAAGACGCGAUAUAUCUUUUCGCCGGACUAUCGGAGCUAUAAAUAACCCGGUAUCGAUUUUUACUGAAGCGGAAUCGCACCUGGGUUAAUCGGAGCUCGCGAUUCAACAGGAUGUGUGUACGGUUCAUGUGUCUAUCGUUCACAGCGGGCUUCUCUCGGACGCUGUGACGGAUCAUCGCUGUGUCAACUCCGCCCGGUCAGGACACAUCGGUUCAGGGAAAGAGACAAGCGAAAGGUCACCAGUUCCGUAUAGGGGAAUUGAAGUUACUCCCGCAGUCGCAGAGCGACAGUGUAAUCUUGCCACGACACUGAAGAAUGGGCAAUGUCAUUGCGUACUUUUCGUCCAUUUUGGGUUCCAAAUCCGUGGAAGAACCCAAUUCUGACGGAACCCUGAAGGAGACGCAGGUGGAGAAUCCACCCGUGACUGAGCAGGGCCCAGUGGAUGUCGACGAGGUAGCCAUUAGUCUAAAGGUAAUCGUUACAACUCCGACCACUAAGAGAAAAUAUGCCUCAAAAAAGCUGUUCUAAUUUUCCGACUUUUCUCUCUUCCUUUUAUAGUUUUUUUUUUUAUGUAUCUUUUAAUUCAAGUCUCGUUGGUGCGGCUGUGACUUCAUGUCAAGAGGUUUACCUGGUACCUGCUGAUGGGCAGCAGUUUACUCCGGGUACUCCAGGUUCCUGAAAACAACCGAAAAAACAAAACAAAAAUUCUCGCGAUCACGAGCAGGGAUCAGUGGGGCGAUCUCCUGGAACGGGCUCAGGAGGAGCUUGCCGAGAUCCCGGUAAUCGUCAUGUACCUCUAGUUACGCUCUGUACCUAUCACUGUCUAUACUAUACCUCUCAUUCACUCUGUUCCAUCUGUACAGUCUACAGCGAUCACGAGCAGGGAUCAGUGGGACGAUCUCCUGGAACAGGCCCAGGAGGAGCCUGCCGAGA